ACGAGUGGCGGACGGGUGAGUAAUGUCUGGGAAACUGCCUGAUGGAGGGGGAUAACUACUGNAAACGGUAGCUAAUACCGCAUAACGUCGCAAGACCAAAGAGGGGGACCUUCGGGCCUCUUGCCAUCGGAUGUGCCCAGAUGGGAUUAGCUAGUAGGUGGGGUAACGGCUCACCUAGGCGACGAUCCCUAGCUGGUCUGAGAGGAUGACCAGCCACACUGGAACUGAGACACGGUCCAGACUCCUACGGGAGGCAGCAGUGGGGAAUAUUGCACAAUGGGCGCAAGCCUGAUGCAGCCAUGCCGCGUGUAUGAAGAAGGCCUUCGGGUUGUAAAGUACUUUCAGCGGGGAGGAAGGCGAUAAGGUUAAUAACCUUGUCGAUUGACGUUACCCGCAGAAGAAGCACCGGCUAACUCCGUGCCAGCAGCCGCGGUAAUACGGAGGGUGCAAGCGUUAAUCGGAAUUACUGGGCGUAAAGCGCACGCAGGCGGUCUGUCAAGUCGGAUGUGAAAUCCCCGGGCUCAACCUGGGAACUGCAUUCGAAACUGGCAGGCUAGAGUCUUGUAGAGGGGGGUAGAAUUCCAGGUGUAGCGGUGAAAUGCGUANAGAUCUGGAGGAAUACCGGUGGCGAAGGCGGCCCCCUGGACAAAGACUGACGCUCAGGUGCGAAAGCGUGCGGGAGCAAAACAGGGAUUAGAUACCCUGGGUAAUUCCACGCCCGUAAACGAUGUCGACUUGGAGGUUGUUNCCCUUUGAGGCNUUGGCUUUCCGGGAA
rnacentral:rRNA from 1 species